rnacentral:rRNA from 1 species
UACGUAGGGUGCCAGCGUUGUCCGGAAUUAUUGGGCGUAAAGAGCUUGUAGGCGGUCUGUCGCGUCGAUCGUGAAAACUUGGGGCUUAACCCUGAGCUUGCGGUCGAUACGGGCAUGACUGGAGUUCGGCAGGGGAGACUGGAAUUCCUGGUGUAGCGGUGAAAUGCGCAGAUAUCAGGAGGAACACCGGUGGCGAAGGCGGCGACCUGGGUCGAGACUGACGCUGAGGCGCGAAAGCGUGGGGAGCAAACAGG